CUUUUUGAUAAUADKUUAAGGUCCGGCCUGCCCAAUGAUUUUUAAAUGGCCGCGGUACUUUGACCGUGCAAAGGUAGCAUAAUCAUUAGUUUUUUAAUUGAAAGCUGGAAUGAAAGGUCAGAUGAAAAAAUAACUGUCUCUAUUUAAAUUUAUUAGAAUUUUAUUUUUAAGUUAAAAAGCUUAAAUAUAUAUAAAAGACGAGAAGACCCUAUAGAGUUUUAUAAUUUUAUUAUUUAGAGUUUUUAGUAUUAUAAUAUUUGAAUAAUAAAAUUAUUUAGUUGGGGUGAUUGAAAAAUUAAAUAAACUUUUUUUUUAUUUAAACAUUGAUUUAUGACUGUAUGAUCCUUAUUUAAAGAUUAAAAGAAUAAAUUACCUUAGGGAUAACAGCGUAAUUUUUUUUGAGAGUUCAAAUCGAAAAAAAAGAUUGCGNCCUCGAUGUUGGAUUAAAAUUAAUUUUUGGUGUAGGAGCUAAA
rnacentral:rRNA from 1 species